UAAAUGGACGAAAGCCUUUCUUCUAUUAAAACACCAGGCUGGAUGAAGACCUCCCACUUUCCAAGUCAGACAUGAUGAUGGGGAUACAGCGGACCAAGCACAGAUGGAAGAUAAAGACCCCAACCGAAGACCCCAAACAUUGUUGUAGAGAAUGAUGGGCGUACCAUCUCACUGCAAGUACUGGAAUUUAAAACAAGUCUCCUGGAGGCAGUUGAAGAGUUGCAUAUUCACAAGGGCCGGGGUUAAGAUGGAGGAUUUCCUGCCAGACAAACGCGCUCAGCUGAAUGCCGU